rnacentral:rRNA from 1 species
GUCUACAGCCAUGCCACCCUGAACAAGCCCGAUCCUAUCUGAUCUUAGAAGCUAAGCAGGGUCAGGCCUGGUUAGUACUUGAAUGGGAAACCACCUACGAAGACCAGGUGCUAUAGGCA